rnacentral:rRNA from 1 species
AUACGACGUAGUGAAUCAUCGAAUCUUUGAACGCACCUUGCACUUGCAGAGUCUAUCUGCAAGUAUACCUGUUUGAGUAUCAUACACAUUUAUCCAAGCAAUUGGGAUUUGAGUUUCAGCGCGCGAGUGCUGUUGCUUUAAAUGCAGCGAGGAACGAGGGCGACGCAGUCGUGCUCUUACGUGAGGAUGUUUGUGCUCCGGCGCAAAGUAAUCACAAAGGAGUCUCGGGUGCGGCGCGCUGUAACGCUCCUUACCGUUCGCAGCUGCAAGGCCGCAACAUCUGUACCAAAUGUGAUCUCAAAUCAGGCAAGAAGACCCGCUGAACUUAAGCAUAUCAAUAAGCGGAGG